UCCUGUGCCCACACACUGAUGUAAACCAGGAAUAACUCCACCACCACGUAGAUUGCAUCCUGUCCCAAGCGGUGGCACCCAAUGCCCAGUUUCUAACAGAGACCCCUAAGCCUCCACUGGAAAGGUGGUUCAACCACACAGCUGGUGGGAAGGUCUAAGCCUUCACUGGGAAGGUGGUUCAACCACACAGCUGGUGGGAAGGAGACUCUGGGGCUGGGAAAACUCUCAACAGGAGAGCUGGAUACAGCUGGCAGUGCAAGGAGAGACCUCUCCAGAGAGAGCAGCAGGAGGCAUUGCAAGCAGAUCUUUGAUGCUGCGGAUCAGAGAUGGACCCUGGUGAAAACUGGAAGCUGGAUGAAACAAACUGGUUGUCUCAUGGUGGGAUCCACCCCUUUUCCAAUGUGAAAGGAGACAAUGAGCUCUCCGAAGGUGCCCCAGCCCUCUUUGCUCUGGAUCAGCUGGGUAAGUCCAUGCAUGACACAUUUUCCCCUGCCUGGUUUUUUUAUGUUGAGUAAUUAGGAGGUGGCUUAAACAACAGGGCAGCUGCUAAAUGCUUUUGAAUUUAUCAGCACCAGUGCCUCCUUUCUGUGCUGUUUUUGAAUGCCAUCCAUCAAAGGGAUGGAAUAACUUGACACUAGAUGUGUUUGAUAGCUUUCUGUGUUAAAUUGAUGCAGGGGUUUUUUUCCCCUGGGAGAAAAGCUGUUAUCUUUCUGGUGCAGAGCACUAUAGGAUGCUGUUGUUUCUUGGCUGGG
rnacentral:lncRNA from 1 species